rnacentral:rRNA from 1 species
GACGAACGCUGGCGGCGUGCCUAAUACAUGCAAGUCGAACGCAGUGGGGACGGGUGAGUAACAUGUGGGUAACCUCCCAUCAGAGGGGAUAACACUUGGAAACAGGUGCUAAACCGAUACUGAUUGAUGGACCUGCGGGGGAUUAGCUAGUUGGUGAGGUAACGGCUUACCAAGGCGACGAUGCAUAGCCGACCUGCGAGGGUGAUAGGCCACACUGGGACUGAGACACGGCCCAGACGCCUACGGGAGGCAGCAGUGGGGAAUAUUCGGCAAUGGGCGAAAGUCUGACCGAGCAACGCCGCGUGAGUGAAGAAGGUUUUCGGAUCGUAAAGCUCUUUUGUUAGGGAAGCGGUAUCUAACCAGAAAGCCACGGCUAACUACGUGCCAGCAGCCGCGGUAAUAC